rnacentral:rRNA from 1 species
AAGGGUGGUAAUGCCGGAUGUUCCACAUGAUCGCAUGUGAUUGUGGGAAAGAUUCUAUCGGCGUGGGAUGGGGUCGCGUCCUAUCAGCUUGUUGGUGAGGUAACGGCUCACCAAGGCUUCGACGGGUAGCCGGCCUGAGAGGGCGACCGGCCACAUUGGGACUGAGAUACGGCCCAGACUCCUACGGGAGGCAGCAGUGGGGAAUAUUGCACAAUGGGCGCAAGCCUGAUGCAGCGACGCCGCGUGAGGGAUGGAGGCCUUCGGGUUGUAAACCUCUUUUGUUUGGGAGCAAGCCUUCGGGUGAGUGUACCUUUCGAAUAAGCGCCGGCUAACUACGUGCCAGCAGCCGCGGUAAUACGUAGGGCGCAAGCGUUAUCCGGAUUUAUUGGGCGUAAAGGGCUCGUAGGCGGCUCGUCGCGUCCGGUGUGAAAGUCCAUCGCUUAACGGUGGAUCUGCGCCGGGUACGGGCGGGCUGGAGUGCGGUAGGGGAGACUGGAAUUCCCGGUGUAACGGUGGAAUGU